rnacentral:rRNA from 1 species
CAGUCGCCACGGUAAUACGGAGGGUGCAAGCGUUAAUCGGAAUUACUGGGCGUAAAGCGCACGCAGGCGGUCUGACAAGUCAGAUGUGAAAUCCCCGGGCUUAACCUGGGAACUGCAUUUGAAACUGUCAGGCUGGAGUCUUGUAGAGGGGGGUGGAAUUCCAGGUGUAGCGGUGAAAUGCGUAGAGAUCUGGAGGAAUACCGGUGGCGAAGGCGGCCCCCUGGACAAAGACUGACGCUCAGGUGCGAAAGCGUGGGGAGCAAACAGGAUUAGAUACCCCUGUAGUCUGUCUCUUAUACAC